CGGAGGGUCCAAGCGUUGUCCGGAAUCACUGGGUGUAAAGGGUGCGUAGGCGGGCUUGUAAGUCAGGGGUGAAAGCCACCGGCCUAACCGGUGAACUGCCCUUGAUACUGCAAGUCUUGAGUCCUGGAGAGGCUGUCGGAAUUCGUGGUGUAGCGGUGAAAUGCGUAGAUAUCACGAGGAACACCGGAUGCGUAAGCGGACAGCUGGACAGGUACUGACGCUCAGGCACGAAAGCGUGGGGAGCGAACAGGAUU
rnacentral:rRNA from 1 species